UGUGGACCCGCACACUGGAGCUCAUACUAAUACUAUAGAGAGCCGGUGACGGGAUUUGAAGAAUCUGUUGCCUAAAUACAGUCGUCGAAAGGAUCAGUUUGUUGGAUACUUGGCUCUUGGCUAUUUUAAAUUGCAUUUUAAAGUAUUGGAUCAUAGACUCCGUGCAUUCUUGAAGAUGGCAGCUCACCUAGUAUACCCUCCAACCUAAAGCAGCAGUGACUUGGACCAAGUGCGAUGCCCCAAGAUUCCUCGUCCUCGUCCGAGAUAGAUGACCCGGAUUUUAAACAACACCACUUCGCCCACAUCCCAGGCUACUUCAACCGCUCUCACUAACAACUCCACCACGUGAAGGCAGCACGAACGAAGACUUAAAAUGCAC